UUAGAUGAUGAAUAAUUAUAUUAACUACAACGAAUUUCUUCAGCUGAAUAACCAUGAGGAACAAACAUAAUUUCAGAGCUUUUUAACCCUGAUU
rnacentral:snoRNA from 1 species